GCAAAGACCUACUUAAGCCAGCCUCUAGCUUUGCUCUGCCCCCAUCCCAUCUCAUCCUUCGUCAAAGGGGCGUGGCAUUUAAACAAAUGCACUCAGCUGGGAGGGUAUCCCAACCCUGAGGCCCGCGUCACCAGCGCGGGCGGGCGGCUGCGGAGUCUCCCAGAAAAGCUGGUAUCUCCCAGAGUGGUCUGGUUCGGGCUCCCCAGCCCCGGAGGGGCGGCUAAGAAGAAGGCGCUCACUGGUUGCUAUAGCGGCGAUCUAAGAGGCUGGGGAAAGUUGAUUGGCCGCAGGUUCGUAGCGCGGACCACGCCCACCCCUUCCGGCGGCUGCAAUCAGAAUUGUUUGUUUCCUCAAAAAUGUCUCCUAUGGAGAGUGGGUCACUGCAUAAAUGAAAAAUAUUAAUUAGGACAUUUAUAUUUUUAAGUGUCUGUAAUCCUCAUGUUGGAUCAUCAAAAAAGUGAGACAGUUCCAGAAAAAUAUCUACUUCUGCUUUAUUGACUAUGCCAAAGACUGACUGUGUGGAUCACAAGAAACUGUGUAAAAUUCUUAAAGAAAUGGAAAUACCAGACCACCUGACCUGCCCCCUGAGACCUCUGUAUGCAGGUCAAGAAGCAACAGUUAGAACUGGACAUGGAACAACAGACUUUCCAAAUUGGUAAAGGAGUACAUCAAGGCUGUAUAUUGUCACCCUGCUUAUUUAACUUAUAUGCAGAGCACAUCAUGAGAAAUGCUGGACUGGAUGAAGCACAAGCUGGAAUCAAGAUUGCCGGGAGAAAUAUCAAUAACCUCAGAUAGGCAGAUGAUACUACAGUUAUGCCAGAAAGUGAAGAACUAAAGAGCCUCUUGAUGAAAGUGAAAGAGGAGAGUGAGAAAGUUGGCUUAAAACUCAACAUUCAGAAAACUUAAGAUCCUGGCAUCUGGUCCCAUCACGUCAUGGCAAAUAGAUGGGGAAACAAUGGAAACAGUGACAGACUAUUUUUUUGGGCUCCAAAAUCACUGCAGAUGGUGACUGCAGCCAUGAAAUUAAAAGACGCUUGCUCCUUGGAAGAAAAGUUAUGACCAACCUAAACAGCAUAUUAAAAAGCAGAGACAUUACUCUGUCAACAAAGGUCCAUCUAGUCAAAGCUAUGGUUUUUCCAGUAGUCAUGUAUGGAUGUGGGAGUUGAACUAUAAAGAAAGCUGAGUGGCAAAGAAUUGAUGCUUUUGAACUGUGGUGUUGGAGAAGACUCUUGAGAGUCCCUUGGACUGCAAGGAGAUCCAACCAGUCCAUCCUAAAGGAAAUCAGUCCUGAAUAUUCAUUGUAAGGACUGAUGCUGAGCUGAAACUCCAAUACUUUGGUCACCUGAUGUGAAGAACUGACUCAUUUGAAAAGACCCUGAUGCUGGGAAAGAUUGAAGGUGGGAGGAGAAGGGGAUGACAGAGGAUGAGAUGGUUGGAUUGCAUCACUGACUCAAUGGACAUGAGUUUGAGUAAACUUCGGGAGUUGGUGAUGGACAGGGAAGCCUGGCAUGCUGCCGUCCAUGGGGUCGCAAGGAGUCGGACUCGACUGAGUGACUGAACAACAAUCCUCAAAGUUCCUGAAAUCUUUUAAAAACUGAAUCUGCAUAUUAAAUAUAUAUAUUUUAAGCACUGUUAAGUUCUGAUAGAGUAUACAGUACUGUUAAGGACAGGCAUAUUUUAUAAAUUAAAUAUAAUAUCAUAUGGUUAAGAGCUCUAAUCAAGCUUCAAUAAAAUACUGGGGGAUCUGAAGAGUAAUGAAAUCAUAAAAUACUCAGGAAAGUGUGAAUAAAAAGGAAAAUAUCAGAUGCAAGAAAAAUAUUUGCUAACAACUGACAGAUUAAAGAAGAUUGUUCUUGGAGAAAGGCAUCCUUGGUAAGAAAAAAUAGUCACUAUAAGUGAGAACCUGAGUUAACCCUCAAAUGUUUCACAUCAGGUAUAAUGCUGAAAUUACAUCUAAACUUGAGGAGACCUUAAGAGGUGGAAAAUAGCCAUAAAAAGAUGUUCUUUUGGUAAACUGAAUUGUUAGUGGAUAUGUCAUUUUGUGAUAAAAGGCAGUUUCUCUUCAGUCUUUAUUAGGGAAGAUAGAAAUUCCUGCUCCCAAUUUGACAAUGUGUGAAUAAGUUGGAGGUAACCAUUCCAUGAUGGCCAAUACACAGUAAUUUAGAAAUCAAUUAUAUACAAUAAAAAGUGUAAACUAAUUGGGGCUUAUUUGAAGAUUGAGUGAAGAUUUCCCUUGCUUCUCAAGGCUGGGAACUAAAAGCCAGCUCUUAGGAUUUAUAAGGCUUGUAUUCCCUCUUCCAUCUCUGAAAAUUCUCCUAAUCAAAUAAGAUUAGAUCAAAGUCAGCCUGCAGGAAGAAGGCAAAGGCAUCCACCCUCCUAAUUCCAGCUCAGAGAAUAUGUAGUUCACCCUAAAGUGGCCAAUCAAUUUCUCUUUGUUAACUAAGAAUGACAGAACAUAUACCAUUUUACUGAAUAGUAAAACUAAUGAAUUUAGAAAUCAGAUUAAAAGAUGCAAUAUAGGACCAUUCAUCAUUCAAAAAUAUAGACAGGAUGACAAGCCCCAGAAAUCAAUGAGGGAUGAGG
ensembl:lncRNA